ACGAACGCUGGCGGCGUGCUUAACCCAUGCAAGUCGAACGGAAAGGCCCUGCUUUUGUGGGGUGCUCGAGUGGCGAACGGGUGAGUAACACGUGAGUAACCUGCCCUUGACUUUGGGGUAACUUCAGGAAACUGGGGCUAAUACCGGAUAGGAGCUCCUGCUGCAUGGUGGGGGGUGGGAAGUUUCGGCGGUUGGGGAUGGACUCGCGGCUUAUCAGCUUGUUGGUGGGGUAGUGGCUUACCAAGGCUUUGACGGGUAGCCGGCCUGAGAGGGUGACCGGCCACAUUGGGACUGAGAUACGGCCCAGACUCCUACGGGAGGCAGCAGUGGGGAAUAUUGCACAAUGGGCGGAAGCCUGAUGCAGCAACGCCGCGUGCGGGAUGACGGCCUUCGGGUUGUAAACCGCUUUCGCCUGUGACGAAGCGUGAGUGACGGUAAUGGGUAAAGAAGCACCGGCUAACUACGUG
rnacentral:rRNA from 1 species